UGGGGGGACCAUCCUCCAAGGCUAAAUACUCCUGACUGACCGAUAGUGAACCAGUACCGUGAGGGAAAGGCGAAAAGAACCCCGGCGAGGGGAGUGAAAAAGAACCUGAAACCGUGUACGUACAAGCAGUGGGAGCACCCUUUGGGUGUGACUGCGUACCUUUUGUAUAAUGGGUCAGCGACUUAUAUUCUGUAGCAAGGUUAACCGAAUAGGGGAGCCGGAGGGAAACCGAGUCUUAACCGGGCGUUAAGUUGCAGGGUAUAGACCCGAAACCCGGUGAUCUAGCCAUGGGCAGGUUGAAGGUUGGGUAACACUAACUGGAGGACCGAACCGACUAAUGUUGAAAAAUUAGCGGAUGACCUGUGGCUGGGGGU
rnacentral:rRNA from 1 species